GAGCCCGUAGCUUAGUCUGGUGGAGUGCUCGACUGAUAAUCGAGUGGUCCCGUGUUCAAAUCACGGCGGGCUCA
rnacentral:tRNA from 1 species